ACGGGGAGCAGCAGGCGCGAAACCUUUACACUGCACGCCAGUGCGAUAAGGGGACCCCGAGUGCGAGGGCAUACAGUCCUCGCUUUUUCCUACCGUAAGGAGGUAGGCGAAUAAGAGCUGGGCAAGACCGGUGCCAGCCGCCGCGGUAAUACCGGCAGCUCGAGUGAUGGCCACUAUUAUUGGGCCUAAAGCGUCCGUAGCUGGCCGAACAGGUCCGUCGGGAAAUCCGCUCGCUCAACGAGCGGACGUCCGGCGGAAACCAGUCGGCUUGGGACCGGAGGACCCGAGGGGUACGUCCGGGGUAGGAGUGAAAUCCUGUAAUCCUGGACGGACCACCGGUGGCGAAAGCGCCUCGGGAGGACGGAUCCGACAGUGAGGGACGAAAGCUUGGGUCACGAACCGGAUUAGAUAUCCGGGUAGUCCAAGCUGUAAACGAUGCUCGCUAGGUGUGGCACUGGCUACGAGCCAGUGCUGUGCCGUAGGGAAGCCGAGAAGCGAGCCGCCUGGGAAGUACGUCCGCAAGGAUGAAACUUAAAGGAAUUGGCGGGGGAGCAC
rnacentral:rRNA from 1 species